rnacentral:rRNA from 1 species
UACGUAGGGAGCAAGCGUUGUCCGGAAUCACUGGGCGUAAAGGGUGCGUAGGCGGGUCAUUAAGUCAGGGGUGAAAUCCUGGAGCUCAACUCCAGAACUGCCUUUGAUACUGAAGAUCUUGAGUUCGGGAGAGGUGAGUGGAACUGCGAGUGUAGAGGUGAAAUUCGUAGAUAUUCGCAAGAACACCAGUGGCGAAGGCGGCUCACUGGCCCGAUACUGACGCUGAGGCACGAAAGCGUGGGGAGCAAACAGG